UGUGCUUAAGUAAAGAGAAAUUGUACCAAAGAGUGCUAUGAGACGUUGAGCUGUUUAAUUAAACGUGAUUAAUGGAGAAGGAAAUGCUCCCCCGGCCGAAGGGUAUCAGAACGCAAAAGAUCACACUGCGGAUGGUGAGACGUUGUGUUUUUUUUUUCUCUUCAGCUUUGUUUUCUGUGCACUCUGCACUGUUUGCACAAUCUACUAUAAAGUGGUGAGAAAAUCCAAUUAAAAAAGCCUAGCGACGACGGAACGUUUCAUGUUUCGCUUUCACCAGAGCAGCGGUUGCGACGGAGAGGUUGCCAUUAUUCCGAACAACUUCCUCUACUUCCUCUCUCUUAAUGCUCUAUUGAUUCCCGUCACACCAUCACACCAGGGUGUGCCUGUCGGGUGCCGUUAACGAGUAGUGAUCGUUAUGGCGACACAAUUGAGCGCAGGAGGCCAUGCGAAAAUGGUUAAUUAAUGUGAAGGAGAAGUGAAAACAGAGUGCCAUCUAAUGGCAAACGUACACAGCUGCUCAAACGUCCAUUACUUGUCCAUUACACCGACAAGUGUACACACAGCCCUGCGUCGGCCAGUUUUGGAAGAAGAACCUCAUCGACGCAACGCCCCAGGAUAUGCUUACAUAGCAUGUUGAUCAUUCUCAUUAAGUUGCCAGUUAGAUUUGCUGGCAGCUUCGGACAGACAUACAGACAGACAGACGGGCUCUCGAAGCACUUUGCCUUCCAUCCAUUAGGUCAGUUUUGCUGCUUCUGCUGUUUGUUCUGUAUCUCUUUCCCUACUCCAGCAGCUUGCCAAAUGAGUACCACUUCUGGGGUGGUUCUGUUUUUGCAGGACGGUCCAGUUGCAGCUAGAGAGCCCCUAAAGGGAAUUUCAGAGGAGGCAGACAUAGAGUUUUCCCUAUUGAUUAAAUAUGCAUCACUGUCAAUAUGUUUGUGCUAGCACUGACUCCCAAACGUAGGAGUCGGACUGCUGCAAUGGCACAAGUGCUUGGUUACGGCACCUUCAAAACCUAGUGCCUAGUGAGUCCUUGACGUAUGUAUAUUUUCUGUGUGUUUGUGUGUUGGUGAGUGUGUUUGCGAGGCUACACAAGAAGGGCUUCUUGAAAGGGAUAAACUUUAUCGUACUUCAGCGCCGCUGCCAGAGAGUGUCUGGUGUGGUUUCUUUGCGCCCUUUUCCAUGCUUGAAGUGUUCUUUAUUAGUAACACUUCCAACGCCAAGAGCUGACGAAGGUAGAUCGUAUUCUUUAGAGUGGGCGCUUUGGUGGUGGUGCUUGCCUUGUGGGGCGGAAUCCAUCGAACACCGUUUACGACUCAAGACACUCAGGGGGCCGUGUUGGGAUUGGAGAUAUUUCAAUUUCGAUUUCCAUCGUCACUUGAGGGGUUGGUGCACAGCUACACUUCGCACACACGACCGGUGCCCAAAGUGCAUUCCAGGGAAAAGCGACACAAAGCAAAGACGAAAUAAAUAAACGGAAAGUGUA